rnacentral:lncRNA from 10 species
GAGGCAUGUGACAGGGUCUGUCUGAGGAUGGAGAGGUCUGAAACCUCAUGAGUCACUCUGGGAAUCACAUGAAAUCAUGGAGAUAGAAGUGUUUUAUAAACUGUAGCCUACAGAGAUGGAGGAUCACAAAGUGGUUUGGAGUACCCUGGGUUCUGGCUGAAUUGUGGAAGACUCCAGUCCAGUGUCCUGAAGCUUCAAUAGAGGCAGGAAGUACUUUUACUCAACCCCGUAUCCACUAGGCUGUGAAUUCCCUUUAUAAAAUAUAAAACAGUGUGGGGGAGGAAGGAAUGGGUUGUAUGUCUUUGUUUUCCUGCUGCACCUGUCAAUCUGCUCCUGCCACCAAUCAGAAUGCAAGCCUGACUGCUGAAUCCCAUGGUCAUCUCUCCAACAGUUUCGAAGCUCAUCCUGAUCUCUCUGGAGACCUUCCUUUCCCAAACCAUGACUGUGAUCUAUUAUGUGGUUCACCUUUCAACAUCCUUUCCAUAAAGAAGGAAUUCUAACGGCUAAUGAACUUGAAUAAACUGUUCUACCUCACUAGUUCUCAAAACAAAAACAACACUGAGUUCUACUUCUGCUUAGAAUGUAUAAAACUCGAGAAUAUUGCUCCUAUACCAAUAAGAAAAAGUCAGAUAAUCUAUUAUACAAAAAUGUUCCUUUUCUUGAGCCCAAAGAGCUACCAUCAUGAAGCAAUCAGGUAACCUGAAUUAGGUGGUGAGCUGGUGUAUGUUUAAUAAUUGGUCCUCAGUGGGAGAAAGGGAGGGUGCUAAUUUGAAGGAUUUGUCAGUUUCAAGCUACCAAUGUCAUGCUGCUGACCCAGAGAUGUGCAGCCAGGUCUCAUGAGCCAGUGUGAGCCAGCUUCAGCUCACCAUGGACUGAGUUCCAAAGAGUAGCCCUUCUGAGGAAAAACGGGACACAGGAACUACUGCACCUUAGGCAGAGCACAGGAGAAAGAUGGCCUCUGCCAAAAAAGUGGGUAGUAAGAAAAUAGAUACACUUCUAACACAUUCUUAAAGGGCAAGAAUAGGCUUGCCUGACUUCAGGACCCCAGGGAUCCCUGGAUGCUCCUUUAGUUCACAUCCACUCAUGAGCUUGUUCCAGAGGCCUGCACUGGGAGCCCUGGAGAAAGCAGAAGACCCGAGGGAGACCCCACUGGUGGUAGGGACAUGAAAGCCCACCUACUUCCCAGGCCCAUUAUCGUGAAACCCAUGGUAAAAACGUGAAGCACACGGGGGAGAAGAAAGGAGCCACCCUGUCCCCCACCCCUAAUCGCAGGCAGGCAAAGGCAAACCACUUGAGGGGGAGGGUGAGUAGAAGCAAAAGUUGUCUGCCCUUAAGGGAAGGGCAGUAAACCCCCACCCUUCCAUUUGUCCCCCACACAAGACUUG